AACGAACGCUGGCGGCAGGCCUAACACAUGCAAGUCGAGCGAGACCUUCGGGUCUAGCGGCGGACGGGUGAGUAACGCGUGGGAACGUGCCCUUUUCUGCGGAAUAGCCUCGGGAAACUGAGCGUAAUACCGCAUACGCCCUUUGGGGGAAAGAUUUAUCGGAAAAGGAUCGGCCCGCGUUGGAUUAGGUAGUUGGUGGGGUAAUGGCCUACCAAGCCUACGAUCCAUAGCUGGUUUGAGAGGAUGAUCAGCCACACUGGGACUGAGACACGGCCCAGACUCCUACGGGAGGCAGCAGUGGGGAAUCUUAGACAAUGGGGGCAACCCUGAUCGAGCCAUGCCGCGUGAGUGAUGAAGGCCUUAGGGUUGUAAAGCUCUUUCAGCUGGGAAGAUAAUGACGGUACCAGCAGAAGAAGCCCCGGCUAACUCCGUG
rnacentral:rRNA from 1 species